rnacentral:rRNA from 1 species
AUUGAACGCUGGCGGAAUGCUUUACACAUGCAAGUCGAGCGGCAGCACGGGGGCAACCCUGGUGGCGAGCGGCGAACGGGUGAGUAAUACAUCGGAACAUGCCCAGUCGUGGGGGAUAACACUUCGAAAGAAGUGCUAAUACCGCAUACGUCCUGAGGGAGAAAGCGGGGGAUCUUCGGACCUCGCGCGAUUGGAGUGGCCGAUGUCAGAUUAGCUAGUUGGUGGGGUAAAGGCCUACCAAGGCAACGAUCUGUAGCUGGUCUGAGAGGAUGAUCAGCCACACUGGGACGGGGGCACGGCCCAGACUCCUACGGGAGGCAGCAGUGGGGAAUUUUGGACAAUGGGGGCAACCCUGAUCCAGCCAUUCCGCGUGAGUGAAGAAGGCCUUCGGGUUGUAAAGCUCUUUCGGCAGGAACGAAACGGCGAGCUCUAACAUAGCUUGCUAAUGACGGUACCUGAAGAAGAAGCACCGGCUAACUACGUGCCAGCCGCCGCCGUAACAC